rnacentral:rRNA from 1 species
ACAGUCACACAUUAGAUACCCGGUAGUCCUAACUGUAAACGAUGCGGACUUGGUGUUGGGGUGGCUUUGAGCUGCUUCAGUGCCGAAGGGAAGCUGUUAAGUCCGCCGCCUGGGAAGUACGGUCGCAAGACUGAAACUUAAAGGAAUUGGCGGGGAGCACCACAACACGUGGAGCCUGCGGUUUAAUUGGGUUCAACGCCGGACAUCUCACCAGAGGCGACAGCUGUAUGAUAGCCAGGUUGAUGACUUUGCUUGACUAGCUG